rnacentral:rRNA from 1 species
AUUGAACGCUGGCGGCAUGCCUUACACAUGCAAGUCGAACGGCAGCACGGGGGCAACCCUGGUGGCGAGUGGCGAACGGGUGAGUAACACAUCGGAACGUACCCUAGCGUGGGGGAUAACCAGUCGAAAGAUUGGCUAAUACCGCAUGCGCUCGUAAGAGCAAAGCAGGGGACCGGAAACGGCCUUGUGCGCUAGGAGCGGCCGAUGUCCGAUUAGCUAGUUGGUGGGGUAAAGGCCCACCAAGGCAACGAUCGGUAGCUGGUCUGAGAG